GAACGCUGGCGGCAUGCCUUACACAUGCAAGUCGAACGGCAGCACGGGAGCAAUCCUGGUGGCGAGUGGCGAACGGGUGAGUAAUAUAUCGGAACGUGCCCAGUCGUGGGGGAUAACGUAGCGAAAGCUACGCUAAUACCGCAUACGAUCUAUGGAUGAAAGCGGGGGAUCGCAAGACCUCGCGCGAUUGGAGCGGCCGAUAUCAGAUUAGGUAGUUGGUGAGGUAAAGGCUCACCAAGCCGACGAUCUGUAGCUGGUCUGAGAGGACGACCAGCCACACUGGGACUGAGACACGGCCCAGACUCCUACGGGAGGCAGCAGUGGGGAAUUUUGGACAAUGGGCGCAAGCCUGAUCCAGCAAUGCCGCGUGCAGGAUGAAGGCCUUCGGGUUGUAAACUGCUUUUGUACGGAACGAAACGGUGAGCUCUAAUACAGUUUGCUAAUGACGGUACCGUAAGAAUAAGCACCGGCUAACUACGUG
rnacentral:rRNA from 1 species